rnacentral:lncRNA from 1 species
AUGAAGCUUGCUGGUGCUGUGGUGAUCCUUGGGGCUGCCCUGCUCCUCCUGACUUCAGGGGGAGAUUGUGGCAUUUGCCCAGCUAUAAAAGAGGAUGUUCACCUAUUUUUAAACAGAACCUCAGAAGAGUAUGUUGAGUACAUGAAACAAUACAAAGAUCACCCUGAAAUACUGGAAAAUACUGAAAAAAUCAAGCAAUGUGUUGAUAGCACGUUGACAGAGGCAGACAAGGCACAUGUAACUGCUUUCAUCGAAAAAUAGAAGCCAGCCAGCUAUGU